UUGUGGCGAUUUGUGAAGAAGGCCCUUGCCCUCUCGGGGGCAGGGAAAUCCACUGUCUGCUCUCAAACGACCCCCGCUGCCGGGUUGCUGACUGUUUUCGCAGCCACUGAGGUUUCCUCACUUUGAGCCAAUGAAGUGGUGAAUACAGGCACGAGGAAGGCUAAGGAGCUUACUGAAGAGCCAGGAGCUGGUCAGAGGGGAGUCUGGAAUGACACUCAGCUCCUGACUCCAAACCGUGGCCUAAGCCCCACACUUUGUGUUUUGGGAAUGAGCAUCUUCCCUAAAGCCUGCAGUCCUGGCCCAGCCCAGCUGCAGCCCCUGUAACUACAGCCCGUUUCUAAAUCGCCCCUCCCCGGUGCCCACGUGCCUUUGUGAGCCAGGCCAUUCUUCCCGCCAGCCCUGGUCGCAGCCAAGCUUGCUGUGCCCUUGAACUUUUUUGCUUGGGUCAUGAAGAAAGGAACCUUCAGUGCAUUUCAAUUCUCCAAGACAAGCUUGCAGAGAUGCUGCUGGCCCCUUCCCAGUGAUGAUUUAUGCAGGGUACGUGGAAAAGCAUGCUGUUUUCAUUCCUUUUAAAACCAAGUAAUGACCUAGGGGGAGAACGUUAUGUCUGUAUCUGUCUCUGUUCCUUUCUCUGUAUCUCUGUCUCUUUUUCUAUCUAAAUCUGUGUAUCCACAUCUAUAUUUGUCUGCAUAGAGAUGCAGUGACGUGAAUUUAGUAGCCUAACAGAGCCUUGCCACACUGUCGUCUAUUUAUAUUUGACCUGGUAGAAUUUGGCACUUAUUUGCAAUGCAAAGAUGCAGAGUUGCAUCGUGUCCUUUAAGAAAUAUAUACGUAAAUAUAGGCCAACCCUUUCAAGCAAAAUAAAAAUAUAUGGUGCUUGUCUUUGUGUUACGGAGAUGCAGGUAUUCAAAUCAACUCAGGAUAAUACUCACUGGGAAACUGAGAAGAAACACUAACUGAGUGACUUUGGGCAAGUCCCUCAAAUGCUCAGAGUCUCAAAUUCUUCAUGAAAAAACUGCAAGAUUUAGACCAGAUGAUCUCUAAGGGAAAGCCAACUCCUGUGAUCCAGAAGCUUUUGAUUUUUGCCUGGCAUCCUUUAAUAAAUAGCUUUUACUCCAAAUCUGGUCUUACAGAUUGUUCUUAGGAAAUUACAAUUGCAGGUAGAAGAGCAGGGUAGUCCUGGGUUUGGGCUGUGUAUCUGUCAAGGUAUAGUCAGGAAAUGCAUGCCAGGUCACUCAGCAGAGGGAAUUUAAUACAAGGACUCCGUCACAAAGUGUUGGAAGCUCUGCAAAGCCAAACGGGGCGGUGAGGAAACCCAAAGGUCAGCCAUGGCAGAAACUUACCACCAUCCUCAGGCUGCAGGGGCAAAGGCAGGAGGGUCAGAG
rnacentral:lncRNA from 1 species